rnacentral:tRNA from 1 species
AUUCUUUUAGUAUAUAAAGUAUAUUUAACUUCCAAUUAAAAGGACUAAAAUUAGAAAGAAUA